rnacentral:miRNA from 1 species
CUUGGCACCUAGUAAGUACUCA